UCCAAAUUCUGUGAUGCUAAGACCUAAACAUUCCUCAAUCUAUGAUUCCAAUGGCUCUUAACAUCUGUAUUUAAAAUUCUUUGCUGUGUUUUUUUCCCCACCCUUGACUGUGUAGAAAGAAGUCUGUGCCACAAUUUCUAGGAGAACUUAUUUAUUUCAAUUUGUCCAGUUACAGACUAAGUAUAAAGAAUGUUGGGGGAAAACCUGGUGUGAGUUUCACUCCAGCACUAGUUGGAACAGACAUGUGAACUAAUUUGGAUUCCUAACGGCACAAGAUCAAGGCUGGUUGCUGAUGGAGAACUGUGAAUCUAAAUAGGAAGACAGACCAGGCCAUAUUCAAAGGAAAAGAUGUGUCCUCUUCCCAGAAAACUAUAAAUCCAUAAAUGGAAAGUGAAGGUGUGAUUCGCAAAGUGAUCUUGAGAAGCAUUUUAAAUGUCCUUCUCAAAAAUAUUAAAUUUAUUGGUAGAAAUCAGAAGUUUUGAGGUCCGUAGACACAGUGGUAGAGGCCAAUAGAAAAAGCCAAGAACAAACACGGCUAGUUAUAAAAGAAGUUUAGUGUCCUGCAAUUUCAGUAAAAACCUAAA
rnacentral:lncRNA from 1 species